rnacentral:rRNA from 1 species
GACGAACGCUGGCGGCGUGCUUAACACAUGCAAGUCGAACGGAAAGGCCCUGCUUUUGUGGGGUGCUCGAGUGGCGAACGGGUGAGUAACACGUGAGUAACCUGCCCUUGACUUUGGGAUAACUUCAGGAAACUGGGGCUAAUACCGGAUAGGAGCUCCUGCUGCAUGGUGGGGGUUGGAAAGUUUCGGCUGUUGGGGAUGGACUCGCGGCUUAUCAGCUUGUUGGUGGGGUAGUGGCUUACCAAGGCUUUGACGGGUAGCCGGCCUGAGAGGGUGACCGGCCACAUUGGGACUGAGAUACGGCCCAGACUCCUACGGGAGGCAGCAGUGGGGAAUAUUGCACAAUGGGCGGAAGCCUGAUGCAGCAACGCCGCGUGCGGGAUGACGGCCUUCGGGCUGUAAACCGCUUUCGCCUGUGACGAAGCGUGAGUGACGGUAAUGGGUAAAGAAGCACCGGCUAACUACGUG